rnacentral:rRNA from 1 species
AUUGAACGCUGGCGGCAGGCCUAACACAUGCAAGUCGAGCGGAUGAAGGGAGCUUGCUCCUGGAUUCAGCGGCGGACGGGUGAGUAAUGCCUAGGAAUCUGCCUGGUAGUGGGGGAUAACGUCCGGAAACGGGCGCUAAUACCGCAUACGUCCUGAGGGAGAAAGUGGGGGAUCUUCGGACCUCACGCUAUCAGAUGAGCCUAGGUCGGAUUAGCUAGUUGGUGGGGUAAAGGCCUACCAAGGCGACGAUCCGUAACUGGUCUGAGAGGAUGAUCAGUCACACUGGAACUGAGACACGGUACAGACUCCUACGGGAGGAAGCAGUGGGGAAUAUUGGACAAUGGGCGAAAGCCUGAUCCAGCCAUGCCGCGUGUGUGAAGAAGGUCUUCGGAUUGUAAAGCACUUUAAGUUGGGAGGAAGGGCAGUAAGUUAAUACCUUGCUGUUUUGACGUUACCAACAGAAUAAGCACCGGCUAACUUCGUG